UGGAAGUAAAAGUCGUAACAAGGUUUCCGUAGGUGAACCUGCGGAAGGAUCAUUAACGAGUUUUGAAACGGGUUGUAGCUGGCCUUCCGAGGCAUGUGCACGCCCUGCUCAUCCACUCUACCCCUGUGCACUUACUGUAGGUUGGCGUGGGCUCCUUCACGGGAGCAUUCUGCCGGCCUAUGUAUACUACAAACACUUUAAAGUAUCAGAAUGUAAACGCGUUUAACGCAUAUAAUACAACUUUUAGCAACGGAUCUCUUGGCUCUCGCAUCGAUGAAGAACGCAGCGAAAUGCGAUAAGUAAUGUGAAUUGCAGAAUUCAGUGAAUCAUCGAAUCUUUGAACGCACCUUGCGCUCCUUGGUAUUCCGAGGAGCAUGCCUGUUUGAGUGUCAUGGAAUUCUCAACUUAUAAAUCCUUGUGAUCUAUAAGCUUGGACUUGGAGGCUUGCUGGCCCUUGCGGUCGGCUCCUCUUGAAUGCAUUAGCUCGAUUCCGUACGGAUCGGCUCUCAGUGUGAUAAUUGUCUACGCUGUGACCGUGAAGUGUUUUGGCGAGCUUCUAACCGUCCAUUAGGACAAUCUUUUAACAUCUGACCUCAAAUCAGGUAGGACUACCCGCUGAACUUAAGCAUAUCAAUAAGCGGAGGAA
rnacentral:rRNA from 1 species